ensembl:lncRNA novel transcript, antisense to MYOM2
AGGACUUCUGGGAUUGUAGCAAUGGGGCAGAAGAUAUGAGAUGAGUUGGGAAUGUUUUACGGGCCCAGAAAAUAAGGCAUUGCUCCUAAGAAGAUGCAGGCACACACACUGGAAAAAGCAGGCGACAACCGGAAGGAGCUCCCAAGGGCCAGAGCUGGAACAAUUUGAGCAAAGUAACAGCUCACAGAACAAAGUCAGCAUCCCUGAGUCCAAACGGAUACAGCCAAGCAGCUGAAUGAGGAGAUGCACAGAGGAGAGGCCAGCGCCUCCCAGCAGAACAAAUGUAAAAGGAAAAGGGAACUUCAGCCCCUCAGAAAUCAGUGCUGAAGGCCAGAUUCACUGCUGAACCUCAAAUCCCAGCACACAGGUCUGCGGAGGGACAAGAGACUUGCCAAGUCCUGAAGUAUUUACUAAUUACCAAGAGAAAAAUAAUAACGUUCCCAGGAAGAGACGGGGCAGACAUUGCCUUAACCCAGUGAUCAGGUAUCAGCAUGGCUUUUGUUGUAUUCCAGCUAAAACGGAGUCACCAACCCAAUCAUGGGAAACACCAGAUAAACCCAGACAGAGGGGCGUGCUUCCGAGUGACUGACAGAAGGCUUCAAGGCACCCAGGCCGAGAGAGACGAGGAGAGCCUGAAGAACUGUCCUAGACAGGGGGGAAACCAGGAGCCAGGACACCUAAUCACAACAUGGGACCUGAGAUUCAACACAGGAACAUGCAAAAGGGCGUUCCUGGAAAAAAAGGUGCAAUCUGAAUUGGUCUGUAGCAGAGUUAAUAGUAUUACAUCAUCAUUCAGCGCCUGGUUUUGAUGGUUAUAAGGGAUGCUUUCUUCUGAUCCAUGGUCACUGAUGAGUCAGAUGCAUGAGCUGUGCCCCGAUCUGCCUGCCUAUCUAGGACCCACCCUCUUCACUGGGCUUGGAGCUUCUCGGGAGAGCACUGAUGAGAACCAGACCAGCCAGCGUUCAAAUCCCUGCUCUUUCACUUAGUAGGGGCGUGACUGACAAAAUGACAUGUUUCUCUCCCUGAACCCCAGUUUCCACAUCUAUAAAAUGUGGGUAUAAAUACCUAACUCACAGGGUAUUUGUGAGGAUUAGAUAAAAAUAACAUGUGUUGAACGUGUAACACAAAGUACCUGCUUGCUAACACUAACAUGACCUACAUCUACACACACUUCCUGUGUGGUCACACACAUCCACAGGGCGUGUGUUUAAUCCUGUGUGUGGGUGUGUGUUUAAUCUCUGUACCCCCCAGACCCAGCACAGCGCAUGGCCUGUACUACAAACCACACAAGGCUGAAGAGGGGGGUGGCCUUUCCCAGAAGAUGAACGUGUUUAUGACGGAUGGCAGGACACACAUUGCAAGUGUGUACAACUUACAGCAAGACAAUAUGCUGUAAAUAAGAAGGAAGCUCAAAGAUGCUGAUGAUUAAUUCUCCUUUUCCAGGGGAAGGUUUGAUUCAGCUAGAAACAUAGAUUUACUCAUUGUCCCACAAAAUAAAUCCCGAUAAACAAUUAUAUCACAAAACUCACCAGAGUUCUAGUCCUGUAAGCUCCUGUUAUCACAGUCCUUUAAAAAAAGACCCUGCCUUCAAUACACUUUCCUAACAAAUCCCUUAACAUGGGAUCUACAGUGACUCCAUUUGAGUUUGAAUAAACCAGGCUAGUAAAAUUAAAGACGUGAGAGAUUCCAAGCACAGAUGUACUGACUCCAUUAUAAGAAAAAAGCACACUAUGUCAAAAUUGAAAUAGGAAAAAAGCUAAGAACAUACAUGCUUUCAACUCUUCAAUUUACU